rnacentral:rRNA from 1 species
UACGGGGGGGGCAAGCGUUGUUCGGAAUUACUGGGCGUAAAGGGCUCGUAGGUGGCCGACUAAGUCAUACGUGAAAUCCCUCGGCUUAACCGGGGAACGGCGUCUGAUACUGGAUGGCUUGAGUUUGGGAGAGGGAUGCGGAAUUCCAGGUGUAGCGGUGAAAUGCGUAGAUAUCUGGAGGAACACCGAUGGCGAAGGCAGGUCUCUGGGCCGAUACUGACGCUGAGGAGCGAAAGCGUGGGGAGCGAACAGG